UACGUAGGGGGCGAGCGUUGUCCGAAGUUACUGGGCGUAAAGCGCGCGUAGGCGGUUAUUUAAGUCUGGGGUGAAAGGCUCAGCGCUCACCGUGGACAGUGCCUUGGAUACUGGAUGACUUGAGUCUGGGAGGGGGAAGGGGAAUUCCUGGUGUAGCGGUGAAAUGCGUAGAUAUCAGGAGGAACACCGGUGGCGAAGGCGCCUUCCUGGCCUAAGACUGACGCUGAGGUGCAAAAGCGUGGGGAGCAAACGGGAUUAGAUCCCCCGGUAUCCCACGCCGUAAACGAUGAGUGCUAGGUGUCGGGGGUAUCGACCCCCCGGUGCCGUCGCUAACGCAUGAAGCACUCCGCCUGGGGAGUACGGCCGCAAGGUUG
rnacentral:rRNA from 1 species